rnacentral:tRNA from 1 species
GCCCCCGUAGCCCAACUGGUAGCGGCAACCGAUUUAAGAUCGGCACAGGUGCUCGGUUCGAAUCCGGCCGGGGGCA